AUCAGCAUUUUACCCAUUCUUUCUCUCUCUUUAGUUUCAACCGUUCGCAAAAAGGGGUCUGUAAACCCUAAAAAAAAUUCUCCCGGAGAAGACGGCCGAAGGCGGCGCCUCCUUCCUUCUCCGGUCACCCUACCCCAAAACACCAUCUAGCUUACUAAACACGACCUUCUGAGGUCGAAUCUGAACCCAAAAUUUCCUAAACCAUGCUCGAACCUUCUAGAUCUCUAAACCCUUACCGCGAAAUCUAAGUUCUUGCAUGUGGCGAUUUAAGAGAAUUAAUGGGGAUUUUGUUUCACUUACCACGACAGAGGAGAUGGAAAGGCGAUUUCAGGCGGAGAAGAGUGCUUUGAUCUGAGUCCGUCGCCGGCAACCCGUCACAGUUCCGGAUAAGUUUCCUUCCUCAACUUUUCUUCUUUGUCUGUUUCGUCUGAUGAUUAAAUGGCAAAUCUGUUUCAGUUUUUUUUUGUGUUAUGGUUUGCUGGCUUUUUCGGAAAUUUGAUGUUCUUAAUCUCUGGGAUUUCUAAAAAAUGUUUGAUGUUUGCUAUUUGGUUUUUUGGGUUUUUUUUCGAAAUCUUGUUGUUGUUGUUCUUGCUGUUGUACUUUGCUGUUGUGUGUUUUGCUGUUAACUUAAUAGGACUUUCAGAAAAUAUUGCUCUGUUGUUUGGGUUUGAAAAAAUGAAUUGCUCUGUUGUUCUUGUUUAGGGUUUUGAGAAAAUAUAUCUUGCUUGUUCUGUUGGAUCUCAAAAACGUGUCCUCUCACUGUUAAUUGAUUUUGUUAUAUAUGAAUGUUGGUUUCUGUGAGAUAACUUGUUGGAUCUUGUUUCCAGAUUUUAUGGGAUGUUUGCUUUGUGGAUUUAAGGUUGUUUAUUUGGAUAUUGGAAUGUGUUUUUUUGGGCGUUUUCUUUGAUUCAUCGUGCAACAUACUUACCUGUUUAUUUAAUCAUUUAUUUUCCAGUUUGUUUUAAGUGCUUAUUUGAUAAGCUUUUUCUUUGAAUUGUUUUUUUUGCAGGUGAAGUGAUGUUGAUUAGGAAAGGAGGCGGCGCCAGCUUGGGAUUGGGGCGUUGGAGCUUCCAAAAGAGCUUUUGGAAAAGUCUUGGAAGCUGCUUCAAUCUGUUGGAUACUCAACUUGUUCAAUUUUUCUUCAAAUUUAUUUAGCUGUAACAAAUCUUUUGGAUUGUAACCUUAGGGACUAAUCAUGUAACCUCUGUUGAAUUAUUUGUAAGAUCUGCAUAUUUUAAACUCUUUUGAUUAUGCCUUGGCCUUUUUUGGAGUAAUUUGUAACAUUUGGAUUUAAUUAGAACUUUGAAUAUGAAAAUUGGGGUUGAAACGUAUAACCUCCUGUAUCAUGUACUGGCCCCCCCUUUUUUGAAUUAUUUGUAACAAUUAAAUAUGCAAUUAAUCCCUUUUAAAAGAAACAUUCUAAGAUUUAUUCUAAUAUCUCAUUUGUGUGAGUUAUUUAAAA
rnacentral:lncRNA from 1 species